ACGUUUGCCUCAACGCCUUCAUUUAUCACCAAUGCAGUUAGGUAAAUUAUCACUUAUUACUAUUUUCUCAUAUGAAUUCAGAAACACUGUCAGCUUAUCAAAUAGUGUAUCUGUUAAUAUAACCUUUUGUAGGCAACUUGUCCUGUAACCACCUAUGACAUUUUAGGCUCAUUUUUGUACCAGCCUCUUCAACAGUUCUAUAGCUUAUGGAAAACUAAAUUAAUGUCCUAUUCUCUCAUUUCCUCUGUCCAUACCAGCAGUUCUCAUAGUACUCUCAAUGUUGAAGGAUGAUAGCAGUCCAAGGGCAGAGCUAGUGAGUUUCUUUGAGUCUCCCCAAUAAUUGUUUUCUUUUGUAGCUUGCGGUGAAGAGGAGGAUAAUAGCGGUAAUUAAAGGUUUAGUGAUUAUAUGAAAAAAGUAUUUUUAUAAGGCGUGUAUUCGUGGGAGUGAUUUAAAAGUCUUGAAACAUUUAUUAUAAAUAGUCUUUACUUAUUUCAACUGUAGUUUUCUCUAAUCAAUGGUAAUACGAAUAAUAGAAUUACAUCAUGUUGCGUCAGCCUACCAGUAACUCAUAAGGUAUCAUACCCUAGCUUAUAAAAUAUGUUAGUAAUUUAGAAUUCAAUUAUUAACUUCAACUAAUGUCCAGCCUAUAUGCUCACCUUGCUAGCCAAUUAUUCCUGCAUUUUUAUUUAAACUCACGGUUCAGUAAAAUUAUUUGUGAAAGAAGAGAGAGAGAGAGAACUAGCUAAGGUUCCAAUAACUUCAGAUGCCUGUGGGUGUUGAGGGAGAGAGCACAAAAUGGCGUCUCCCUUCCCUCUGGCAACAGGUGGGUCUCGUAGCUCUGAAAUAUUUGAUUUUUCUUUUAUUUAGAAGUGAAUAUUACUGUGUUCAUGUUUAUUAUUCAUGUCUAGUGAAGAUAUAGUGACUGUACGUGUUGACAGAAUGGCGUCUCCCUUCCCUCUGGCAACAGUGUUGCCACGGUGACGGUGGUGGUGGGCAUGACACAGAUGCGGGAGGUGGAGUUUGUGCCCGAUGGAGACAUGCAGCUGGACAAAUUGUGUUGGUCAUUGGUCAGACUGGAGUUUACAUGUGUACCUCCUUCACCAUCAUUGGUGGACACUUCACCUUGAGUGAUGCUUGAGCUGUCAUGGUGCUGCUGGUGCUGUGUGCCAUCAUCACCCUGACACAGACCACCCUGCAGACACCUUCAUCCUGGGUGCCACACGUCGCUGCUGCUACAACUCAGAGCAACAAGAGCACAAGCCAGGAAGGGAAAUGUGUGCAGGUUUGCAGUAAACCUCCCUGAAGGUUCCAGAGCUGCUCAGCAAGUGUCCAGUCCAGGCUGUCACAAGACUGUGUGACAGUGGACCUUCCACUCAUACUGAAAACAGCUGUGCACUGCCACUCACAGGAAGUGGUGACCACUCUAGAUUGAGUUGCCUUGAAGCUGAGAUGAGUUGGUCAGCUAGUGAGUGGCUUCAAUCAAGUGACUGUGAGGUGUUGGCUUCAAUCAAGUGACUGUGAGGUGUUGCCUUCAAUCAAGUGACUGUGAGGUGUUGCCUUCAAUCAAGUGACUGUGAGGUGUUGGCUUCAAUCAAGUGACUGUGAGGUGUUGCCUUCAAUCAAGUGACUGUGAGGUGUUGGCUUCGAUCAAGUGACUGUGAGGUGUUGGCUUCGAUCAAGUGACUGUGAGGUGUUGGCUUCGAUCAAGUGACUGUGAGGUGUUGGCUUCAAUAAAGUGACUGUGAGGUGUUGCCUUCAAUCAAGUGACUGUGAGGUGUUGGCUUCGAUCAAGUGACUGUGAGGUGUUGGCUUCGAUCAAGUGACUGUGAGGUGUUGGCUUCGAUCAAGUGACUGUGAGGUGUUGGGCAUGGUAUUGUGUUAUUGCAAGUGUAACCAUUAAUAAGUGGUACUGUGGAUAGCAAGCGGAAGAGGCCUUGGGAGACUUCCGUUAAUGAGGAGCAACAGUCACACCUCACUGGAGUCUUUCAGGAACCAACAGUCAGGGCCUGAUGUGAAGGUGUCUGCAUCCAGUGUUUGGUGUCCUCUGUGCCUGCCUGGUGGUGCCUCAUUGCAGGGCCUGAUGUGAAGGUGUCUGCAGCCAGUGUUUGGUGUCCUCUGUGCCUGCCUGGUGGUGCCUCAUUGCAGGGCCUGAUGUGAAGGUGUCUGCAGCCAGUGGUGGUGCCUCAUUGCAGGGCCUGAUGUGAAGGUGUCUGCAGCCAGUGUUUGGUGUCCUCUGUGCCUGCCUGGUGGUGCCUCAUUGCAGGGCUGAUGUGAAGGUGUCUGCAGCCAGUGUUUGGUGUCCUCUCUUCCUGGUGGUGCAGCCUGAUGUGUUGCCUGCUUCAGUGUAAGUCUUGCAAGCCAGAUCUGCCAGGUGUCUCCAGUGUAGUAGUCUAGGGUGCUUUGCUUUGUGUCUUUGGCAAUAAAUAAAUUUGUGAGUAUCAUUCUCAUGUGAAUUAUAUAGUUUGAUAAAAUUACAGAAUGUGCUUGGGUAAACUAAAUUUAUAUAUUGGUGGUAAACAAUUCAUGCAUCCCCAAGUAAAUAAAUAAAAAAAUAAAUAGGACCCAAAACAAUAGAUACAAUAUAGAUCAUCCUCUGGUCAAAAAAAAAGCCAGGAUUGGCCCAUUUUUGGCUAAGUUUAAGGCGAAACUUGCACACACAAGCCCUGUCCGAGCGACACCAGAGUCGCUCGGACAGGGCUUCUGUGUGCAAGUUUUACCUUAAACUUAGCCAAAAAUGGGCCAAUCCAGCCAAAAAUGGGCCAAUCCUGGCUUUUUUUUUUUUUGACCAGAUCAAUUGUUACUAGUAUUUUUUGCUUCCAUUUUUUUUUUUUUUUAUCAGGGCUAUGAACUGGUUACAUCAGAAAGCAGCUUAUUUGCAAUUUGUAAAAAGAUUUGUAUAUAAUUCCACAAUUCCACAAGUAUGAACAAGAUGAUUAAAUAUAUUUGUUUAAAUCACAUUGCCAAAGUUUCUGAGGAGGCAUGAACUGUUACACCAGAAAGCUUGUUUAUUUGCAACUUAUUAGUAUAAUUCCCUAAGUAUGUACAAGAUAAUAAUAUAUAUAUUGUUUAAUCACAAAAGUUUAAUAAAUACACAAUAGGAUAAA